AAACCCCAACUUCGGGAGGGGUGUAUUUAUUAGAUAAAAAACCAACGCCCUUCGGGGCUUCUUGGUGAUUCAUGAUAACUUCACGGAUCGCAUGGCCUUGCGCCGGCGACGGUUCAUUCAAAUUUCUGCCCUAUCAACUUUCGAUGGUAAGGUAUUGGCUUACCAUGGUUUCAACGGGUAACGGGGAAUUAGGGUUCGAUUCCGGAGAGGGAGCCUGAGAAACGGCUACCACAUCCAAGGAAGGCAGCAGGCGCGCAAAUUACCCAAUCCCGACACGGGGAGGUAGUGACAAUAAAUACUGAUACAGGGCUCUUUUGGGUCUUGUAAUUGGAAUGAGUACAAUUUAAACCUCUUAACGAGGAACAAUUGGAGGGCAAGUCUGGUGCCAGCAGCCGCGGUAAUUCCAGCUCCAAUAGCGUAUAUUAAAGUUGUUGCAGUUAAAAAGCUCGUAGUUGAAACUUGGGCCUGGCUGGCAGGUCCGCCUCACCGCGUGUACUUGUCCGGCCGGGCCUUUCCUUCUGGAGAACCUCAUGCCCUUCACUGGGUGUGUUGGGGAACCAGGACUUUUACUUUGAAAAAAUUAGAGUGUUCAAAGCAGGCCUUUGCUCGAAUACGUUAGCAUGGAAUAAUAGAAUAGGACGUGCGGUCCUAUUUUGUUGGUUUCUAGGACCGCCGUAAUGAUUAAUAGGGACAGUCGGGGGCAUCAGUAUUCAAUUGUCAGAGGUGAAAUUCUUGGAUUUAUUGAAGACUAACUACUGCGAAAGCAUUUGCCAAGGAUGUUUUCAUUAAUCAGUGAACGAAAGUUAGGGGAUCGAAGACGAUCAGAUACCGUCGUAGUCUUAACCGUAAACUAUGCCGACUAGGGAUCGGGCGAUGUUCUUUUUCUGACUCGCUCGGCACCUUACGAGAAAUCAAAG
rnacentral:rRNA from 1 species